rnacentral:antisense_RNA from 2 species
UUUUAUGGCGGGCCGUGCGGGGCAGGUUUCGGCCUGGCCGGUUCCCUUGGUUCCCGGUUGUCACCCCCGUACGGUCCGCCUCCAUA